CCUCGAAUGGCCCUUCGUGUCCCUAUUCAGACAUGCGUUAGAAGUAAUUCUUAGGUGUGAAGCUCUGGAGAUAGGAAAAAGCCAAGGUAAGCGUAAGCGAAGGUAUGAUGACGAUUCGUUUUUGUUU
rfam:Ophiocordyceps unilateralis strain SC16a Contig_371, whole genome shotgun sequence.